ACGAACGCUGGCGGCGUGCUUAACCCAUGCAAGUCGAACGGAAAGGCCCUGCUUUUGUGGGGUGCUCGAGUGGCGAACGGGUGAGUAACACGUGAGUAACCUGCCCUUGACUUUGGGAUAACUUCAGGAAACUGGGGCUAAUACCGGAUAGGAGCUCCUGCUGCAUGGUGGGGGUUGGAAAGUUUCGGCGGUUGGGGAUGGACUCGCGGCUUAUCAGCUUGUUGGUGGGGUAGUGGCUUACCAAGGCUUUGACGGGUAGCCGGCCUGAGAGGGUGACCGGCCACAUUGGGACUGAGAUACGGCCCAGACUCCUACGGGAGGCAGCAGUGGGGAAUAUUGCACAAUGGGCGGAAGCCUGAUGCAGCAAUGCCGCGUGCGGGAUGACGGCCUUCGGGUUGUAAACCGCUUUCGCCUGUGACGAAGCGUGAGUGACGGUAAUGGGUAAAGAAGCACCGGCUAACUACGUG
rnacentral:rRNA from 1 species